UCUUUAGCAAUUUUCAGACAACGCUUGUGUGUAGGCAACCUCAAAAUUGGUCGUCAAAAAGGGGGAAGGUUCGGAAACCGCAAUUCGAAAAUUUCCGACGUCUCGUAACGCACAAAAAAAUUCUUAUUAAAAUUUGCAGAAUGUAUUUAUGGAUUUCAUGAUCCUAAAAUGAUGCUCUAAACCCGAACAGUACGGAACAGCUCAUGGACCUGUAAUUAAAAUGUUCUCGGCAAAUUAAGAAGAGUACUUGCAGUAGAUCUUGUUGACUUGGUGUACAUAUAACGCAUCAUGACUACACCCAUGUGCGAAGAUGGCGGGCUGCUCAGGGAAUGGGUACCGCUGACCAAACUGCUCCAACAAAUACCACUGAAAUCCCAAAACGGCCUUUUUACACAGGAUGUUAAUUUUACAUGCAUUGAUGCUGUAACAGAAUUUAUUGCCAUUGGCACUAACCAUGGCUUGGUUUAUUGGUACGGCAGGGAGAAAGGAGACCUUCAAAGGCUACGUUGCGAAAAUACAAAUACAUCAAUUACAUGCGUCAGGGUAAUAUCGACAGUGGAUUACAUGGUAGCGGCAGGAAAUGAUCAAGGCAUAGUAACAGUUUUUCAAAUUCCAAAAAACCCUCCAGACUCAUUGCCGGAUAGUCUUAAACCGAAACAAAAAAAGCAAGUUGAACGCUACAACAUUGGAGGCCUCCAUAAAAAAGCUGUAACUACUGUUGAAUGGUCGAAAAAUGGAAUGAAGCUAUUCAGUGGAGAUCAGGAUGGUCUUGUAGUGAUAACUGAAAUUGAUUUCUACAUGCACUUGUCCAAGUCAUCGGAAUUACUCAAUGAAAAAUACCCAGUAGUCCAAUUGAGUUAUCAACAAGGCCUUUUACUAGUUUCAACAGUCUUUCGCACAAUUCUUGUGAAUAGAAACCAAAAUGACAAGGUGUCUCAGGUUGGCCAGAAAGAACGUAAAAUGUUGGGAAAAUUGGGGGCAUGCUUUGGUCCUCGUCAAAGCCCAGUUCAAGAACCCGUCAUUUACUGUAGCAGACCUGGUGUCAGGCUCUGGCAAGCCGAUAAACAUGGAACUGUCCUUAAAACACUUAUCUUCAAGGAUACUCUUCAGACCGGAUACACCGAAGUUGAGUUAUUGAAUCCAGUUUCAGAGAAUAGUAAAAAAAGUCGCGGUGAGCCGACGCUCGGUGUUAUAUUGCCAUUUUGUGAGGAUUUGUUGGUGACGUACAGCGAUGACAUUGUCUAUGUAAUAAACCCUAUCAAUGUUGGAAUAACAUCGGCUGUCACAGAUCUAAGGCGGGUCACAAGCGUUGCCUGUAAUAAAGAUGAGAUAUUCAUACUGGAGGGAGAUAGGAAUAUUAUUCGUGUUGCUUAUCAUCCAGAAACAGAUACUCUUUUAUCUGUUCCAGAGGUGGAAACUACUACAGACCCACUACCGUCGCUGGCAGAAAUCAGUAAGCCAAUAGCUGCUGGAAUUAUGGAAUUGACAUCUAAAUUUAAAGAAAGUUCUAUUGUACCAGCUAUUCCACUUCUCAAAAUGAACCCAAGCAACCUUAUCCAGUCCAUAAGCAUCAUGCCUACAAUUACAGUUGGCACAGAUAGUACAACAGUAACAAAAGGGGAAGAAGCUACAGAAAUUCCGCUUAUUCCUCCGUUAGGCGUUGAAACGAAUUUGGUAACUGAAGUGACUGAAGAGCCCGUUACCACGGAUUUCGAAUCAUGGAAUCGGAACGAUAUUAUUCAGAAGAAAACACAAGACGAACGCUGGCGAAUAUUACAAAAAAUUGGAGAACAGGAAUUUGAAGAUAUUGUAUUCACUCCUGAACGGAAAAACAAAAAAUUUCUACGCAGCUGCUUGAAUGGAAAUGAGAACGGAAUAGCAUCUAUUGAUUGCAUGAAUUCUUCCUCUGAACCAACAGUUCUUGAUAAAAUGUUGCUGAAGAGCAAUCAAGUAGAGCCAAUUAAGUCGUCUCCCUUUGCUGUAUGCCAUGACAUCAACUUGGAACUAGGAACCAAGAAUUUGCUUUUCGAUACUAUAGCUGUCUCAGGUAGAGAACAACCUCCAGCAGUUUUCCAUUGCGAUGACGAGCGCACAAGUCCUUCAGAAAACGUCACUGACUCAGAAAACUUCAAUGGCAUACGAGUAGAAAUUGAUUGUACUGUCAGUUCAAAUGAAUCAUUGAACCAUAUAAUAACAGACUACAACGAUAAUCCAGAUACUGAAUCAAUUGACGAGGAAGAUGAAAGUUAUACCACAGAAUUGAAAAAGUUGCAAGACCUAGGAGAAUGUACCAAACAAUUAUUGCAACAAAAAUCUAACCAAACUCAUAAAACACAUGGAAUAGACGAAGUUGACUUCAACUCUGGGUCAUCUGCGCAUAAAGAAAAAAAUCACGAGUUGGAAACUCAAUUUAAUGUGUGCAACGAGAUAUGAAAAUCUGCAGUCUUUCAAAUCUGUAAAUUCUAUUGUUCUCGAGAUACCUGCAUUAUUAUGAUAUUUAAUACUUAGAUCAGACGGAAUUUUACAUUCGUGUGUUUCAUCCCAUUGUGAUACUCUCUCAAAAGAAUUUAUUACACCGUCGAGCAUAGAGGAAGAGGAUUGGGUCCUAGUUUAGCUAACGCUAAUUCCAAUAUUCAUUUAUAACAAGUAGUGA